AAGAGUACAGCUACCCUUGUUGUAAUGCAACGCACUGUCGGGUGGCUUGGUCUUGAAUGGGUAAUUAAGACAUUUGAGUCUUAUAAAAGACCUGCUCCUGUUGGAAAUGCAAACUCCUAGAACUGAUUUGUUAAUGUGGAAUAACACAGCUGCCUACAUUUUCAUACUCUUCCUCAGGGCACAGCUGUGAAGACUGCUAUGAUAAGCGUUUGCAUAUACAAAUUUAUCAUAACACCUUCUGCUAAAGUGUCUUACACUCUACCCAUGAAAAAAGAGACUCGGGAACUAAAAUAAUGAAAAAAAAACCCCAAGGAAAGGCAGCCUGCAAAGAAGAGAUAAUUGUCUCUUUUAACCCAUCAGGAAACCAUUAAGAGGCAAAGCACUGAGCUUUGAAGAAAGCAACUGGGGAAAUGUUUGAAGAACUCAUUUGCAUUUAAGGAAAUGUUAUCCCACCAGAUGUGCAGUACAUACAAGAAGAAAAUUUGAAAGCCAUAACCUAGCCAAGCUGACUGGAGAAUUCUGGGAGAUGGAGCUCAAAAAAGUAAUUUUUCCAAGUUCUGCCCAUUACUGCAAGCGGAUUUGCAUACUGUUCUCCAGAGUUGCAAUCUUAAAAUGCCAAUCAGCUUGCCCUGGGUUCCUAAACUAGCCAGUCUUGAGGCAAAAAAAAAAAAUCAUUUGCCAAUCUGGUUCGCCUUUGCAAAUGCAUUUGCAAUAGUGUAUCUUGUCCUUUUCCUUGGACUGGCUUUUGUUUCCUAAACAAAGUGUUACUCUGUGAGCUAUAAAUCAGAAAAAUCAA